rnacentral:tRNA from 1 species
GGAGAGGUCGCAUAGCCUGGUCUAGUGCGCACGCCUGGAAAGUGUGUGAACCUGAAAGGGUUCCGUGGGUUCGAAUCCCACCCUCUCCGCCA